rnacentral:rRNA from 1 species
AAUAGAUACCCCGGUAGUCCACGCAGUAAACGAUGCAGACUAGGCGUGGGGGGACUUGACCCCCUCCGUGCCGCAGCCAACGCGUGAAGUCUGCCGCCUGGGGAGUACGGCCGCAAGGCUAGAACUCAAAGGAAUUGACGGGGGCCCGCACAAGCGGCGGAGCAUGUUGCUUAAUUCGAGGCAACGCGAAGAACCUUACCUAGGUUGAACUAUGCAGGAAAAGCCACAGAGAUGUGGUGUCCUUCGGGGCCUGCGAUAGGUGGUGCAUGGCUGUCGUCAGCUCGUGUCGUGAGAUGUUGGGUUAAGUCCCGCAACGAGCGCAACCCUUGUCCUAUGUUGCCAGCGGGUAAAGCCGGGGACUCGUAGGAGACUGCCGGGGUCAACUCGGAGGAAGGUGGGGACGACGUCAAGUCAUCAUGCCCCUUAUGUCUAAGGCUGCAAACAUGCUACAAUGGCCGGUACAGAGGGCUGCGAAACCGCGAGGUCGAGCGAAUCCCAAAAAGCCGGUCUCAGUUCGGAUUGAAGUCUGCAACUCGUA